AGAGUUUGAUCCUGGCUCAGGAUGAACGCUGACAGAAUGCUUAACACAUGCAAGUCGAUGGGGAAGUGGUGCUUGCACCAUGGUAACCAUGGCGGACGGGUGAGUAACGCGUAAGGGACUUACCCGCGGGACCGGGAUAACAGCAGGAAACUGCUGACAAGACCGGAUAAGGUCAUGGAGCCGCAUGGUUACAUGAUGAAAGGAGACGCCUGCGGAGAGCCUUGCGUCCUAUUAGCUAGUUGGGGGGGUAACGGCCCACCAAGGCGAAGAUAGGUAGCCGGCCUGAGAGGGUGGACGGCCACAAGGGGACUGAGAUACGGCCCUUACUCCUACGGGAGGCAGCAGUGGGGAAUAUUGGACAAUGGGGGCAACCCUGAUCCAGCAAUUCUGUGUGCACGAAGACGGUUUUCGGAUUGUAAAGUGCUUUCAGCAGGGAAGAAGGAAGUGACGGUACCUGCAGAAGAAGCGACGGCUAAAUACGUGCCAGCAGCCGCGGUAAUACGUAUGUCGCAAGCGUUAUCCGGAAUUAUUGGGCAUAAAGGGCAUCUAGGCGGCCAGAUAAGUCUGGGGUGAAAACUUGCGGCUCAACCGCAAGCCUGCCCUGGAAACUAUGUGGCUAGAGUACUGGAGAGGUGGACGGAACUGCACGAGUAGAGGUGAAAUUCGUAGAUAUGUGCAGGAAUGCCGAUGAUGAAGAUAGUUCACUGGACGGUAACUGACGCUGAAGUGCGAAAGCUAGGGGAGCAAACAGGAUUAGAUACCCUGGUAGUCCUAGCUGUAAACGAUGAUUACUGGGUGUGGGCAUGAAGAGUGUCCGUGCCGAAGCAAAUGCGAUAAGUAAUCCGCCUGGGGAGUACGGCCGCAAGGCUGAAACUCAAAGGAAUUGACGGGGACCCGCACAAGCGGUGGAGCAUGU
rnacentral:rRNA from 1 species